rnacentral:rRNA from 1 species
CGGCGGACGGGUGAGUAACGCGUGGGCAACCUGCCUUUUACCGGGGGAUAACACAGGGAAACUUGUGCUAAUACCGCAUAACAUCACGAGAGGACAUCCUCAUGUGAUCAAAGGAGCAAUCCGGUGAAAGAUGGGCCCGCGUCCGAUUAGCUAGUUGGUGGGUAACGGCCCACCAAGGCGACGAUCGGUAGCCGAACUGAGAGGUUGAUCGGCCACAUUGGGACUGAGACACGGCCCAGACUCCUACGGGAGGCAGCAGUGGGGAAUAUUGCGCAAUGGGGGAAACCCUAGACGCAGCAACGCCGCGUGAAGGAUGAAGGUUUUCGGAUUGUAAACUUCUUUGAUGAGGGACGAACAAAAUGACGGUACCUCAAAAACAAGCCACGGCUAACUACGUGCCAGCCGCCGC